rnacentral:rRNA from 1 species
GACGAACGCUGGCGGCGUGCUUAACACAUGCAAGUCGAACGGUGAAGCCUUCGGGUGGAUCAGUGGCGAACGGGUGAGUAACACGUGAGCAAUCUGCCCUUGACUCUGGGAUAACUUCGGGAAACCGGAGCUAAUACCGGAUAUGACAUCUGGCCGCAUGGUCUGGGUGUGGAAAGAUUUAUCGGUCAAGGAUGAGCUCGCGGCCUAUCAGCUUGUUGGUGGGGAAUGGCCUACCAAGGCGACGACGGGUAGCCGGCCUGAGAGGGUGACCGGCCACACUGGGACUGAGACACGGCCCAGACUCCUACGGGAGGCAGCAGUGGGGAAUAUUGCACAAUGGGCGAAAGCCUGAUGCAGCGACGCCGCGUGAGGGAUGACGGCCUGGUGUAACGU